UCACCUUCAUUAGUUAGCUGUACACAGCUUUCCACACACAACUAUGCUGGCUUCUCAUUUGUGGCUUUUGCAUAGUCCAAAAGAAGAAACAGAGAAGCAACAUAGAAAUUUCCAUCACCCACAGUAUGACAACAACAAUAGAAACCAAGCAGCUCUUCACUAGCUUAUAAAUACCAAGUCAGUAAUUAACCACAAACAAAACAUAUACAUCACCACCAGCACUAUAUUUAUUCCUAACCAUUACAAAUUACCAUAUAUGGCUAUGACUAUGAGGUUGGUUCAAUUACUGAUGAUGAUCAUAUUAAUACUUGCUUUGGCCACCUCCAAAAAGGUCUUAGCAAGUGAUCCCAAUAUCUUUCUGGACUAUAUACCCCCACAGAACAGCACAAUAGUUGAUGCUAAUUUUUACUAUGUAGACUGGAUUGUCCAGGAUUUUUGAUGAAGCACCCCAAACCUUUAAGACAACAAAAGCAAGCAUGCUCGCAGUUUAUCAGCAUAUAUGGAGAAGCAGAUACCAUUCACAGGGAUAUUGAGCAACAAAGCUAGUGAAAACCCUGAGUCGAGGUUCGAUAUUGUGAUGGUGCAUCUUUUGCUGGAGACUGUGAAAAUAAGGUUAAGAAUUAAAGACAAUGUUAAUUGUUAAGUUUAUGGAACGCCUGGUUGUUAUUCAUAAAUGACCCUGUGAUGAUAUACUCUCUAGAGGACAUCUUUAAGAAUGGACAGGUCAACCUUGCCUUGCUUAUGAUGAAAUAUAGUGGCUUAUUUGCUUCUGGGUUGCUUAUGAUCCAGAAAAUGAGUCUGAGAUGCUAUUGUUGUCGACAUUGAUGGUGGUGGAAGUUUUAUGAUGAAUGUCCAAGAAUUGGCAACAAUCAAGGUGGAGAAUCUUCCCGUCAAGAUACCACAAAAGAACUAAGAGAUACCAGGCACAACACCUAACUUGAUCACAGUUAUGAUUAUUCAUACCAACAGUACAGAAACUAAUCAAAUUUAAACAUACUGGGAACAAAAUGAAAUACUGCAAAACGAAAUCAGUAACUUCUUCUUCCAUCGCCGUCAGUUAUAACAUCUUUGAAGAGGGGUAGUAGGGACACUCGUCGGAGAUUUCCACUUGCCAGCGGCGGGGAGGCGGAAAAUUGUUCAAUAAAAAUGGACAUGACAAUG